rnacentral:tRNA from 1 species
AGGGUAGUAGUUCAGUUGGUAGAAUACUUGGUUUGGGUCCAAGAAGUCGCAGGAUCGUGCCCUGUCUACCCUA